rnacentral:rRNA from 1 species
ACGGAGGGUGCAAGCGUUAUCCGGAAUCACUGGGUUUAAAGGGUGCGUAGGCGGCUUGAUAAGUCAGAGGUGAAAGCUCAUCGCUCAACGAUGAAAUUGCCUUUGAUACUGUUUAGCUAGAAUUAGGAUGAGGUAAGCGGAAUGCGACAUGUAGCGGUGAAAUGCAUAGAUAUGUCGUAGAACACCGAUUGCGAAGGCAGCUUACUGGACCUUGAUUGACGCUGAGGCACGAAAGCGUGGGGAGCGAACAGG